rnacentral:rRNA from 1 species
CCUACGGGAGGCAGCAGUAGGGGAUCUUGGACAAUGGGGGAAACCCUGACCCAGCGACGCCGCGUGAGUGAAGAAGUAUUUCGGUAUGUAAAGCUCUGUCAGCAGAGAAGAAAGAAAUGACGGUACCUGACCACGAAGUCCCGGCUAACUACGUGCCAGCCGCCGCGGUAAUACGUAGGGAGCAAGCGUUAUCCGGAAUUACUGGGUGUAAAUGCAGCGUAGGCGGUGAUGCAAGUCUGGAGUGAAAGGCGGGGGGCCAACCCCCGGACUGCUUUGGAAACUGUGUAACUUGAGUGCAGGAGAGGGAAGCGGAAUUCCAAGUGUAGCGGUGAAAUGCGUAGAUAUAAGGAGGAACACCAGUGGCGAAGGCGGCUUACUGGACUGUAACUGACGUUGAGGCUCGAAAGCGUGGGGAGCAAACAGGAUUAGAUACCCGAGUAGUC